rnacentral:antisense_RNA from 1 species
AUUGCAGCAGGGCAGCCUCUCUGCUGCCUAUGUGAGGCGGCCCCCCCCCAGCGCUAUAAAUAGACAGCCGUGAUCAGAGCCCCGGAAUAGCAGCCUGCGUGCCUGUCCCCAUCUUAGAGAGACAUCUGACCCCUGGUCCCCUGUGGAGCCCCUGCCGGGACCAUUAACCCAUUGGCUGCUGGCACCACCCCCACCUCCGCCUCCCGCGCACCUGCAUCUGUCAAUCCGGAACUCUGGCCUUGUGGAUUCUGGUGUUUUGGAGGUACUGGAUCCCAUCCCCCAAGGAUACAAAGGGACAGCUGUACUUAGGACUGGCAUCUGAAGUGGAGGACACUCUUGUGGGACUGAGACCUUAGCCUGCAGGAUCGGGUACUGUCUCCAGGGAGAAAGCGUCACAAUGGAACGGGGUUGGAGGAUGCCUAGUAGGUGUCCGCAGAGACUGGAUGGAGCAGGGUUGGAGGACGCCUAGUAGGUGUCCACUGGAGACUUGCUUGGUGUUUGGGGAAAAUCCCCACACACAUUUUGGUGACCAGAGAUGAAGUAUUCCGUGUUGGAUGUUGACUGUUGAGUGUGUGAGAGCAGGGAAAACACUGUUUUUUU